rnacentral:rRNA from 1 species
AUUGAACGCUGGCGGCAGGCCCAACACAUGCAAGUCGAGCGGCAGCGGGACCUUCGGGUUGCCGGCGAGCGGCGGACGGGUGAGUAACGCGUGGAUAACCUGCCCAGAGGUGGGGGAUAACCCGGGGAAACUCGGGCUAAUACCGCAUGAUACCGAGAGGUCAAAGGCGGCCCGCAAGGGCUGUCGCCAUUGGAGGGGUCCGCGUCCGAUUAGCUAGUUGGUAGGGUAAUGGCCUACCAAGGCGACGAUCGGUAGCCGGCCUGAGAGGGUGAUCGGCCACACUGGAACUGAGACACGGUCCAGACUCCUACGGGAGGCAGCAGUGGGGAAUUUUGCGCAAUGGGCUAACGCCUGACGCAGCAACGCCGCGUGGAGGAUGAAGGUCUUUGGAUUGUAAACUCCUGUCAGCAGGGAAAAAGCGAAUCGGCCUAACACGCCGGUGAGUUGAUUGUACCUGCAGAGGAAGCCCCGGCUAACUCUGUGCCAGCCGCCGCAGUAA